rnacentral:rRNA from 1 species
AACGCUGGCGGCGUGCUUAACACAUGCAAGUCGAACGAGAAUCACUGGAAGGAGUUUUCGGACAACGGAAGGUGAGGACAGUGGCGGACGGGUGAGUAACGCGUGAGGAACCUGCCUUUCAGAGGGGGACAACAGUUGGAAACGACUGCUAAUACCGCAUGACACAUAGAGAUCGCAUGGUUUUUAUGUCAAAGAUUUAUCGCUGAAGGAUGGCCUCGCGUCUGAUUAGCUAGUUGGUGAGGUAACGGCCCACCAAGGCGACGAUCAGUAGCCGGACUGAGAGGUUGACCGGCCACAUUGGGACUGAGAUACGGCCCAGACUCCUACGGGAGGCAGCAGUGGGGAAUAUUGGGCAAUGGGCGCAAGCCUGACCCAGCAACGCCGCGUGAAGGAAGAAGGCUUUCGGGUUGUAAACUUCUUUUGUCGGGGACGAGUAGAAGACGGUACCUGGCGAAUAAGCCACGGCUAACUACGUGCCAGCAGCCGCGGUAAUACGUAGGUGGCAAGCGUUGUCCGGGAUUUACUGGGGUGUAAAGGGCGUGUAGCCGGGGAAGGCAAGGUCAGAUGUGAAAUCCACGGGCUUAACUCGUGAACUGCAUUUGGAAACUACUUUUCUUGAGUAUCGGAGAGGCAAUCGGAAUUCCUAGUGUAGCGGUGAAAUGCGUAGAUAUUAGGAGGAACACCAGUGGCGAAGGCGGAUUGCUGGGACGACAACUGGACGGGUGAGGCGCGAAAGCGUGGGGGAGCAAACAGGGAUUAGAUACCCUGGGUAGUCCACGCCAG